AAAUGAAAUGUAUGCAAGGUAAGUCGCUCUGGAUAAGAGCGUCUGCUAAAUGACUAAAA
rfam:Salmo salar isolate Sally breed double haploid chromosome ssa22, whole genome shotgun sequence.